rnacentral:lncRNA from 9 species
AGGGAGGGCCGGGGCAUAAAUUUUGGAGGAGAGGAGAGGAUGGAGGAGGAGGGGCGAGUGCUUCGUGGGGCCUUGCGGCGGCUCAGAGUCCCUGGCGUGACCUUCCCUGCCACGGGGACAAAGGCCGGCAGGGCGGGCGGCGCCUUUAAGGACGUGGCACGGCGGGGUCGGUGCCAGGAGGCGCCGGGCGCGCCCCGGGGGAGACGCGCUGCGGGCGGAGGAGAGCUGGCGCUCUCAGCCCGAGGCCCCAGGGGCGCCCUGCGUGGUCAUUUGCCCUCCUUGCCCCACUCGCUUGGGGUGGGGGCUGGGUGGACAAGGUCCUCGCCUCUGUUCCGGGCUCGGUGGGGGCGGGGAGCUCCGCGCGCGGGAUGCGGGAUGCGGGGGUGGAAUGCAGACCCCCUGGAGGUGGGUAGCAGAGGGAGGGCCGGGGCCCUGGGCCUCUGAGCAGGAGGGAGGGAGGUGCUCGCCCCCCGCCGCCCGCCGGGGAGCGUGGAAGCGAGCGGCGGAGAGCCUGCGGCCCGCGGGGGAUGGGGACCCGGGCGAGGCUGGCGAUCCCUCCCGCAGCCCGCGGCCGGCCGGCCGGGAUCUGAACGCGGGAGGAAGCCCUGGCGCGGGGCUCUCGAGCCACCAGCGAAGGCGACCCCUCUGCCUCCCGACCCCAGCCCCUCCCCGGAGGCGCGGAGAACCGUCCCGGGGCGCGCGCGCGGGGGGGGGGGGGAUUAGAUUUCGCUCCUCUCUCAUCAAUUUUCUGUUUAAUGUCACCGGGCCCCAUUGUGGGAGAGGGAAGCACGUCACCCGGGCCAUAAAUUUGCGCUUAUGGCGUCUCCGGCCGCCUCCCCGUUCCAGGGACCCGGCGGACUCAGACGAGCAGGUCGGACACCGGCUGCCCGGACUGGAGCUGGAGCCGCCGCCGAGCGUUCUCUGUUGUAAAAUGUAGCCAAGGAAGAUAAAAGCAGGGUCCCCAGAUACAUGGCCAGAGACACAGGACCUUCUCCCCAGAGUUUGAUCCUUGGAUCAAGGGAAGGAGAGGACCAGCCGGGCGAAUCUGGAGCCUGUACUGCGGGCGCGUGGGCAUUCCUGAGCUUGGUCACAGCAGGCGGAGGCCUCAGAGUGGCCGAAGGACUGGGCAAUCCGAGGAAGCCUCCGUUCUUGGAGCUCGGGCCUACCUGUGCCGGGUUCGACCACCUGCCAGACAGAUCCUAGGUAUUUGAAAAAGCAUCUGUUGCAAUGAGUGUUGCUGUUUAUUCUCCUGGCCUCUGUGCACGAGACGCCAAAAGUGUGACAUGCUGGGUUAAAAUUAAAAACAGAAUAAAAAAAAAAAACAAGCCAAAGCCUUCCCCUCGGCGUGGACACACACGCUCCCACUCGUCCUUGCUCCCUCUCCCGCCCAGCGCCAAACCGUCCCAUUCAGCA